GCGCCUACGGGACGCAGCAGUGGGGGAUAUUGCACAAUGGGGGGAACCCUGAUGCAGCGACGCCGCGUGGGUGAAGGAGCGUUUCGGCGCGUAAAGCCCUAUCGGCAGGGAAGAAGGAGGACGGUACCUGACUAAGAAGCCCCGGCUAACUACGUGCCAGCAGCCGCGGUAAUACGUAGGGGGCAAGCGUUAUCCGGAUUUACUGGGUGUAAAGGGAGCGUAGACGGCAAUGCAAGCCAGAUGUGAAAGCCCGGGGCUCAACCCCGGGACUGCAUUUGGAACUGUGUAGCUGGAG
rnacentral:rRNA from 1 species